UGGGACGUGGUGUGCGGUGCACCGCUGCAUUCAGUAGGCGGCCUUUACAUCCGAUGAAUUUGUAGCAGACCGGGGUUCGACUCCCCGCGUCCCAU